UAUAAAUCCCUCCCCGUCUCUUGCAUUGCCAUCACACUUCACCCCGGAAAUCCACAAAAUGCACCUCAAACUGUUAUCCCUCCUCUUCAUGUUUCUCUUCUUAGUCCAAACAGAACACUGCAUCGAAGCUCGGCAUCUUCAUUCAACUCCAAAAGCAAGUUCCCCAGCACCUGCAAUUUUGCCCGUGAUGAGCCCUGACGCGCGCGGCAGGCACCGGGAAAUGGAUCCUGAUAUCCAGGCGCCCAAAAAAACCGAGAUAUCACGUCCCCGUUCUUCCUCCUUCGCCACCGACUGAGCCUGAAUUGUUGCGUGGUGUGAUGCAGCCGAGCUCAGGAUGAAGGAGGUGGUGACGAUUUUACAUCGCGAUUAAUGGGAUGUUUAGGGAGUUGAAUUUUAAUGUCAAAGUUAUUUUGUUUUUAUCCGGUUGGCGAAAAUAAGCGUCGGAAUUUCUAAAAAUGUUGUUGCCUGAGUAACACUUUCUGAGGUGAUAUUAUCUAUGAACUAUAUAGUGGACCGAUGCUCA